rnacentral:tRNA from 1 species
CAGGGUGUAGCUCAGUUUGGUAGAGUGCUUGAUUUGGGUUCAAGUUGUCGCAGGUUCAAAUCCUGCCUCCCUGA